rnacentral:rRNA from 1 species
AGGAAUUGGCGGGGGAGCACCACAAGGGGUGAAGCCUGCGGUUCAAUUGGAGUCAACGCCGGAAAUCUUACCGGGGGCGACAGCAGUGUGAAGGUCAAGCUGAAGACUUUACUCGACAAGCUGAGAGGAGGUGCAUGGCCGUCGCCAGCUCGUGCCGUGAGGUGUCCUGUUAAGUCAGGUAACGAGCGAGACCCCUACCGCUAGUUGCUAUCGCUACUCUCAGGAGUAGCGGGGCUAAUUAGUGGGACCGCCGCCGCUGAGGCGGAGGAAGGAGGGGGCUACGGCAGGUCAGUAUGCCCCGAAACCCUCGGGCCACACGCGGGCUGCAAUGGUAAGGACAAUAAGUUCCUAUUCCGAAAGGAGGAGGUAAUCUCCAAACCUUACCUCAGUUAUGAUUGAGGGCUGAAACUCGCCCUCAUGAAUAUGGAAUCCCUAGUAACCGCGUGUCAUUAUCGCGCGGUGAAUACGUCCCUGCUCCUUGCACACACCGCCCGUC